CCUACGGGGGGCAGCAGUGAGGAAUAUUGGUCAAUGGGCGGGAGCCUGAACCAGCCAAGUCGCGUGAGGGAAGACGGUCCUAUGGAUUGUAAACCUCUUUAGGCGGGGAGCAAUGCCGGGCACGCGUGCCCGGAGGGAGAGUACCCGCAGAAUAAGCAUCGGCUAACUCCGUGCCAGCAGCCGCGGUAUUCCGGAGGAUGCGAGCGUUAUCCGGAUUUAUUGGGUUUAAAGGGUGCGCAGGCGGAAGAUCAAGUCAGCGGUAAAAUUGAGGGGCUAAACCUCUUCGAGCCGUUGAAACUGGUUGUCUUGAGUGAGCGAGAAGUAUGCGGAAUGCGUGGUGUAGCGGUGAAAUGCAUAGAUAUCACGCAGAACUCCGAUUGCGAAGGCAGCAUACUGGCGCUCAACUGACGCUCAUGCACGAAAGUGUGGGGAUCGAACAGGAUUAGAUACCCCUGUAGUU
rnacentral:rRNA from 1 species